rnacentral:rRNA from 1 species
UACGUAGGGGGCAAGCGUUGUCCGGAAUUAUUGGGCGUAAAGCGCGCGCAGGCGGUCAUUUAAGUCUGGUGUUAAUCCUAGGGCUCAACCCUGGGUCGCACUGGAAACUGGGUGACUUGAGUACAGAAGAGGAAAGUGGAAUUCCACGUGUAGCGGUGAAAUGCGUAGAGAUGUGGAGGAACACCAGUGGCGAAGGCGACUUUCUGGGCUGUAAACUG